rnacentral:rRNA from 1 species
CACGUAGGGGGCGAGCGUUGUCCGGAUUUAUUGGGCGUAAAGAGCUCGUAGGCGGCUCAGUAAGUCGGGUGUGAAAUCUCCCGGCUCAACUGGGAGGGUGCGCCGAAUACUGAAUGACUUGGAGUGCGGGAGAGGAGAGUGGAAUUCCUGGUGUAGCGGUGAAAUGCGUAGAUAUCAGGAGGAACACCGGUGGUGUAGACGGCUCUCUGGACCGUAACUGACGCUGAAACACGAAAGCGUGGGUAG